rnacentral:rRNA from 1 species
UACGAAGGGGGCUAGCGUUGCUCGGAAUUACUGGGCGUAAAGCGCACGUAGGCGGAUUUGUAAGUCAGGGGUGAAAUCCCGGGGCUCAACCUCGGAACUGCCUUUGAUACUGCGAAUCUUGAGUCCGAUAGAGGUGGGUGGAAUUCCUAGUGUAGAGGUGAAAUUCGUAGAUAUUAGGAAGAACACCAGUGGCGAAGGCGGCCCACUGGAUCGGUACUGACGCUGAGGUGCGAAAGCGUGGGGAGCAAACAGG